rnacentral:rRNA from 1 species
UACGUAGGUGGCAAGCGUUGUCCGGAAUUAUUGGGCGUAAAGCGUGCGCAGGCGGUUCGUUGUGUCGGCGGUGAAAUCCCCGGGCUCAACCUGGGAAUGGCCGUUGAAACUGGCGAACUGGAGUGUGGCAGAGGGGGGUGGAAUUCCGCGUGUAGCAGUGAAAUGCGUAGAGAUGCGGAGGAACACCGAUGGCGAAGGCAGCCCCCUGGGCUGACACUGACGCUCAGGCACGAAAGCGUGGGGGGCAAACAGG